rnacentral:rRNA from 1 species
CCUGGCCUUGACAUUGAUAGAAUCUGCUAGAGAUAGCGGAGUGCCCUUCGGGGAGCUUGAAAACAGGUGCUGCACGGCUGUCGUCAGCUCGUGUCGUGAGAUGUUGGGUUAAGUCCCGCAACGAGCGCAACCCUUGUCAUUAGUUGCCAUCAUUUGGUUGGGCACUCUAAUGAGACUGCCGGUGACAAACCGGAGGAAGGUGGGGAUGACGUCAAGUCCUCAUGGCCCUUAUGGGUAGGGCUUCACACGUCAUACAAUGGUCGGUACAGAGGGUUGCCAAGCCGCGAGGUGGAGCCAAUCCCAGAAAGCCGAUCGUAGUCCGGAUCGUAGUCUGCAACUCGAGUGCAUGAAGUUGGAAUCGCUAGUAAUCGUAGAUCAGCAUUGCUACGGUGAUACGUUCCCGGGUCUUGUACUCACCGCCCGUCACACCAUGGGAGUUGAUUUCACCCGAAGCGGGGAUGCUAAAGUAGCUACCUUUCACGGUGGAAUCAGCGACUGGG